GAUCUGUGCUGCUUAUCCAGUUUUCCAAUCUGAGUAUUCAUACCCUGCUUCUAGAGGCUCAAGUGGGAAGUGAUAGUUUCUCAUUUUACCACUGACAGAUGUGCCAGAGCUGCACCAGCUUAAGCAGUCCAGAACCACAGUGAAGAAGAAUUCUUACCUUUGUAGGUGCUCUAUCUGAUUUGGGAUUGCUGAUGUUUUGCAUGACUGACCUUCA